rnacentral:rRNA from 1 species
UACGUAGGGUGCGAGCGUUUGUCCGGAAUUAUUGGGCGUAAAGAGCUUGUAGGCGGUUUGUCGCGUCUGCUGUGAAAAUCCGGGGCUCAACCCCGGACUUGCAGUGGGUACGGGCAGACUAGAGUGUGGUAGGGGAGACUGGAAUUCUGGUGUAGCGGUGAAAUGCGCAGAUAUCAGGAGGAACACCGAUGGCGAAGGCAGG